UGGACAGAUUAUUGUAUUCGACUGUAUUCACGGCAUGAAAUAGGGGAUUAUACUGUUUUAAAACAGAAAGUGAAUCAAUUAACAUAAUAAACUCCU
rfam:Nicotiana sylvestris Nsyl_contig65594, whole genome shotgun sequence.